AGAGAGACAGAGACAGAGACAGAGAGAGAGAGAGACAGAGACAGAGACAGAGAGAGAGAGAGAGAGUGAUUAAUUAAAAAUAAUUAACCGUCAUAACAAAACAAACAUAAUACACGAUUUAUAAUAAAAUAAAAGUCUGAAGUUAAUUGGACAUGCAAAAUCACAACUUCAAUAAGCAAAAGUCUACCAAUGUUUAAAAUUUAAAGCAUAUAACUACCCAAAAAAGUGUGACAAUAUUAAGGUCGACACUUCAAGUAACUAAAGUCUCAUAAUAUCAAACAUUUAAGUCUUAGAUGAGUCUAUUAGGAUAAGUAGGAUUAGUAAAUGAGUGAGAAGAUAAUUUCAUAUCGCUCAUCAUGCGAGACCAUUGCUCCUCCAUAGAUUUGAAUUGAUCAUCACUUUGUUGCCUCAAACAGGAAACAUCUAGCUCUACUCGUUGUUGCACCUCCACCUCUACAUGCUCUUGAAUAACUCUCUCUUGAUUUCUCUCAUUUGCGACACCUCUUUCUCAAGUAUUUUGAUGCGCUCUUCGGCAACAUAAUUGAACACUAAACUUAUCGAAUUGAUAGAAUUUUGAUCUUUAUACAAGGUUGAAGCUUACCGUAAACAGGUCAUGAAUUUUCUUUCAAAACACAGCAAGUCCAUAGUUGUUGCUGAACAUCUUACUUUCUUUACAAAUUUUAUUUUCAACAAUCUGUCUAUUGCAAAGAUAUGAAGCAUAAAGAUCUAACAUAUGAGCAUUGUCAUAUUCAAUACUGGAACAGCACGAUAUUAUGAAAAAUAAUAAAUUUUAUCGAUCACCAAGUCAUAAACACGAUAUCACAAAGAAAUCAAUUUUAGAGAACCAUGCUUAGUUGAUACUUUAUCCUUUAGCAGCUUCUUGUAGGUUGUGUGUGUGGAUAGAGAAACCAUAAAUAUCAGAUUCUAAUGGCUUAUUCAAUAAAUAUUUCAAUAACCAUAUGAACUCAACAGGCUUCAGUUCUUUUAUACUGGGAAAUCUAUCUGGCGUCAACCUUUAGGACCAACUACACCCUUGAAACUCAGGGAAGAUGAACCCAAGCAGAUAUUUAAAAUAAAUAUCUAAAAUUCAUUAACAGUCUUAUUCAAGGUCUUGAUGCAACAUAAAUCCAAGCAGAUAAGCUCUCGGAAGAUUGGUAUCAUAACAUACUAGAAGGACUACCAAUUAGGCAGAACAACAUAGCUAGUUCAGUUUCACAAGGUGGGCUUGGGGAGGGUACUGAGGGUACUACAUAUGCAAACCUUACAACCUUGGGAGGUAGAGAAACUGUUUUCGAUAGACCCCCAGUUCAAGGAUGACUACUAAUUAGGCAGACACUACCAAAAUAUGACAUGUCCUGGCCCAACAUAUAAUCUACUAAAAAGGACAUUCAAUUGUCUAUUUGAAUUAACAUAAAGUAUGAUAUAUGAAAUUAAGAUUAGAGUUUCUAUUGAGUAAGAAAUUAUCAACCACAAAAGUUUGAUCAAUUACUAUAAAGUAUCAGUAAGUUAAUUCAUAGGAAAGUAUCGGGUUAGAAACUAAAAUUGUCAAUCAACAAACAUUGUUAUAUUUCUAGAAGCUUCCUAUGUCAAUGUCAAAGAAUUCUUUGUGGUUCUCUUUUUUGUUUUCUGUCUGCAGAAAAGGUUAUGUUUCAUAUCCUUCUUAGUAACAUAAAAGUCGAAACAAGUAUUAAUGUACAAAUUAUUUUGAUCACAGAACCAAAAAAGUGGACUUACAAGAAACCUCUUUUCAGUCAUAACUACUAGCUAUGACUCACACACAUAUACUAGCCUACUAACCCACCUUGAAGGAAUUAACUAACUUUGGCAUAAAAUUCAAGUAUUCUACGAUAACUAAAUCCACCUAGAUAGCAGACCAACUUUUGGAAGACAAAAAGUAGAGAAGCAGUGAGGUCCAAAAUAAAAUCUUCAAAGAGCUCAAAUAGACGAGUGAUAAAGCUAAGUACUUGUAAGAACCGUGUAAAAUAUGCAUGGUCAGAAUGCAGAAGGUUGAAGGGGGCUUUGCAUAGCAGGAAGCAUCAAAAGGAUGUUAGAACUAAGGAAAAUGACAAAGUAACACGAAAGAAUAUCCUCUCGAGAUAGAUUGAUCAUCCUAUGAUGGAUUUCUUGCGCAUACAUACUCCAAAGUAAAAAUACUAUGAGGUGCUAAGAAUGAACACGCAAACAUAAUAACACAUAGAAGAAAAUUAUAUUAAAAGAUCUACAGUUCCUCCAAAUGAGCACGGACUUAAUAGAAACUGGAACACAAAAGAGCAGGAGAUAAAUAUUGGUAAGAACAACUUGUUUAAAAUUCAAGCAUAGUUAAGAGUCACAAUUACAGUGGGUGCCUGUCAAGAGUCUUUCUUAUACUCUUCCUGUUCUGUAGAAACUUGAUUAUUUGUAUACAGAUAAAAAUUAAACUAUCUCUAACUUAUCAAAUCAAAACUUAGGAUACUAUCGAAAGGGAUCUCAUUACUUCAAAGAAGUCCAUGAUAUUAUUUUGAAGAUUGUAAAACUCGAACAAUAAAUUAAGUCUCAUAUCUAUGCUAUAAACUGUCCAUCAAUUUUUCACAAAUUGAAAACUGUAAAACUUUUAUAUGUUUACCUUCCAUAAACAUUAUAAUUGCUAGAUAAUUUAAGAAUUCUAAGAUAUAGGAUCUCUAUUCAUCUCAACUCUUACAAAAUCAAUAAAACAUAACACAUAGUAAACACACAAGCAUAGUAGUUUCAUUUGGUUGGUUUGAACUCAAAUGUAUCGACAUUUGUCAGUGACUGCUGAGCUCAAAAGUGAACUGACCAAUAUUACAAAAUCCCCAAGCACCUCAAAUAAAAAAACUCACAAUUACACCACCUAUCACCACCACUAAAAUUCACAACAACAACAACAACAUACCCAGUAUAUUUCCACCAAGUGGGGUCUGGGAAGGAUAAGUGUACGCAGUCCAUAACAGUACCUCAAAUGUGAGAUAGAGAGCCAAUUUUUGAUAGACCCCCGGCUUAAAAUACAACAAUAUAAGAUAAGGAAUAGUAAUAGUAGGAAUAAGGAAGGAGACAUUGAAGAAAAUAAAAUAACAAAUAUAUAUUGAUAUGUUAUAAAAUGAAGAAAAAAUAUCAAUAUUAAACUUAAAGAAAUGAGAGGAAUUUAGAGAAUUUAGUAGUACAUUUG
rnacentral:lncRNA from 1 species